rnacentral:rRNA from 1 species
UACGUAGGGGGCUAGCGUUAUCCGGAAUUACUGGGCGUAAAGGGUGCGUAGGUGGUUUCUUAAGUCAGAGGUGAAAGGCUACGGCUCAACCGUAGUAAGCCUUUGAAACUGGGGAACUUGAGUGCAGGAGAGGAGAGUGGAAUUCCUAGUGUAGCGGUGAAAUGCGUAGAUAUUAGGAGGAACACCAGUUGCGUAGGCGGCUCUCUGGACUGUAACUGACACUGAGGCACGAAAGCGUGGGGAGCAAACAGG